UCUCUCUCUCUCUUAAUUUAAUUUACAAGCUCUUGCAAUUUUUUUUUUGUGAUUCAACUAUUUAUUUUUCUCACCACUGGAUCCCACAAGUCAUCCUGUUCUGGGUUAAAUGUCCCUAGAGGAGACUUGAAAGUUUGUGUGACCGGUCUUCCAUGGCAUACAUUGUACUGUACAAGCCCUAUUUUGUAUCAAAGCUCUCUCUCUCUCUCUCUCUCUCUCUCUCUCUCUCAGAUGGAUUCUGGGUGUUCUUUUUUCUUGUUCUUUUUCUUCUUGUUUUUAUUUUUCUGUUUUCUUCCCCAUCGAUUUUUCUUUAAUGGUGGUUAUUGUCAAUAAAGAUCACCAUAUACAAAGACAACCAAGGAGAAAAAGGACUUAACAAUGAAUUUCUUUAUUGAUUGUUCAUAGUUUAUAAGAUUUUUGUGCAGCCUAAAAUGGCUUGGUUAUAUAUGCAUGUGAUUUAACAUGUUUGACCUAUUGUUCCUUUUUAUGGUUUUAUUGACUGGAAUUGAGUUUGGACUCUGUUGUUUUAUUGAUGGAUCUAAUGAUCCUUUUAUCUAUGUAAUUGACUAAUGGGUUUGGUCUCUAUUUUUUGAUUCAUGACACAAUUGGGAUCCUCUGGUUUUUUUGACAAUUUAAAUGGGAUUUAUUGGUUUAGCUUCUUUCAAUGAUGUAUUAGAUGAUAAAGAUGAUACACAAUGGCAUAUUCAUAUUCACUUUGAAUGGUAUUUUCUCCUAAUUUAAUAUUAUAUUCAUACUAGAUUCCUUUUUGGAUAAAUAACAUUUAUUUUGCAGGCCUCCAUGUCUCGUUGCAUUAUUUUUCUUUUCUCAUAAUUAUAUUUUCUUGUGGUUGAGAUAAUGCAGAUUCCUUGACCCAAUAUAUUUGUAGGGACUAUCCAAAGGUUAUCUGCUUAAGUGAAACUUUUAUUCCUUGUGGUUAUGCAUUUGAAUCUGAUCACUAUGAGUUAUAGCUGUCAGGAAGCUUGGCACCUAUUUGGAUGCAUCAAAUUGUGGUGACUAUAGAAUUUGCAAUAUAUUGGGCUAGAUUAUUGUGUUCACUCUAAUCUGAAUGUCAAUACAAUUGGGGACAAAGGGUCGAGCUCCUAUUCUUGGGAUCGAGGCAAUCAAGCUGCCCAUAGACAUGUCAAUGUAGUUGGGGACUAAGGACUGGGCUCCUAUUCUUGGGAGUGAGGCAGUCAAGCUACCCAUUGCAAUUGGGAACUAAGGGUUGGGCUCCUAUGAGAGCGAUGCAGUCAAGCUACUCAAUUGGGCCCAAUGGUUUUGUGAAGUGCUUGAUACUAGGUUGAGGGAUUAUGUUUUGGAGAGGCUUACGGAUACAUAGACUGUGUAUCUCAAGGUUUGUACUUUAUAUGUAAACAUUCAUUGAGGUUGAGAACCUAAGAUUUAUUCACUGAGGUUGAGCUCUUAAGAUUUAGGUCGAUUGUGUUUCAAGAUCUAUAAAAUGGAAGGUGGUUUGUGCUUUGUCGAGGCAUUCAAUAAUGAGAACUCGCUUGAUGUUUA